rnacentral:lncRNA from 1 species
CGAUCACUCAUGCAAAUCAGAGUAAAGCCCUUUUGAAAGAGUUUGAUAACUUCUAAUGCUGAGUUGUUUAUGGGAGCAGCAGUGAUAGGAAACAUAGCUGAAUACGCACAGAAAGGUUCAAGGAACCUUAGUUCAUAUGCAGAUUCUGAAACUAUAACAUAGACAAAUGUGUUGUUCCCGGUUAGGCAAGAAACUGGCAAAUACAUGUCGUUCUUGAUCAUCCUCGUACAAUUCACAAAACUAGCCCAUAACUGUCCCGCUGAAUAGUAUCCCGCCCCUUCCAACAUAGAGUAUGACAGAGAAUGGGG